rnacentral:rRNA from 1 species
UACAGAGGGUGCUAGCGUUGUUCGGAAUUAUUGGGCGUAAAGGGCGCGUAGGCGGUCUUGUAAGUCAGAUGUGAAAACCCUGAGCUCAACUCAGGACGUGCAUUUGAAACUGCAAGACUUGAGUGCAGUAGAGGUUGGUAGAAUUCCCAGUGUAGAGGUGAAAUUCGUAGAUAUUGGGAGGAAUACCGAUGGCGAAGGCAGCCAACUGGGCUGUAACUGACGCUGAGGCGCAAAAGCGUGGGGAGCAAACAGG